rnacentral:rRNA from 1 species
UACGUAGGGUGCAAGCGUUGUCCGGAAUUAUUGGGCGUAAAGAGCUCAUAGGCGGUCUGUCGCGUCUGCUGUGAAACUCGGGGCUUAACCCCGGGCCUGCAGUGGGUACGGGCAGACUAGAGUGCGGUAGGGGAGACUGGAAUUCCUGGUGUAGCGGUGAAAUGCGCAGAUAUCAGGAGGAACACCGGUGGCGAAGGCGGGUCUCUGGGGCAACAACUGACGCUGAGGAGCGAAAGCGUGGGGAGCGAACAGG